rnacentral:rRNA from 1 species
AGAGUUUGAUCCUGGCUCAGGAUGAACGCUAGCUACAGGCUUAACACAUGCAAGUCGAGCGGAACUACUUCGGUAGUUUAGCGGCAGACGGGUGAGUAACACGUAUCCAACCUUUCCCUCACUCGGGUAUAGCCUCGGGAAACUGAGAGUAAUCCCCGAUGAAGUGUACGAGGAGCAUUUUUUGCACACCAAAGAUUAAUCGGUGAGGGGUGGGGAUGCGUUCCAUUAGCUGGUAGGCGGGGCAACGGCCCACCUAGGCGAUGAUGGAUAGGGGUUCUGAGAGGAAGGUCCCCCACAUUGGAACUGCGACACGGUCCAAACUCCUACGGGAGGCAGCAGUGAGGAAUAUUGGUCAAUGGGCGAGAGCCUGAACCAGCCAAGUAGCGUGCAGGAUGACGGCCCUAUGGGUUGUAAACUGCUUUUGUGCGGGAAUAACGUGCUCCACGUGUGGGGUAGUGCAUGUACCGUACGAAUAAGGAUCGGCUAACUCCGUGCC